rnacentral:lncRNA from 1 species
CCCUGAUAGGGGCAUCAUUUCUUGACUUGAUUAGCCCAUAAGUUAUGGCCAAUUUCUCUGUGUGACUCAGCAGCAUCUCCUCCUUUUCAUUGUCAUCAGUGUUCUGACAAACACACUUGACAUCAGGUUUAUACCCAAGCUUCUUCAUUUCAGAAACCAUAUGGUACAACUCAAAAUAUAUCUCCCCUUCGUCUGGAUGGUUCUCUCCCGCAGAGAAUAAAUGAACCAUCUGAUCAAUUUGAAUCCAGCUCCAGACUUGCCCAUUUUUCACACCUGUAUUUCUCAUCAAAUCUUUGAUACGCUCAACAUCUUCCCAUCUGUCAAACAUGGCAUAUAGAUUCAUCAUCAAAACAUAAUUUGCAGAAUUAUAUGGUUCUAACUUGAAAAGUUUCUUUGCAGCAAUCUCUGCGAAUUGCAUGUUCUUAUGGAUUCGACAGGAUAUAAGAAGAGCACCCCAAAUAGUAGCAUCCGGUCUCAAUGGCAUUUUUUGGAUGAAAUCCCAAGCUUCAUCAAGAUAUCCAGCUCUUCCCAGAAGAUCUACCAUACAAGAAUAAUGUUCAAAUGUUGGUAUUAUACCAUAAUCAGAGCUCAUACUGUCAAAAAAUUUCCAUCCUUCAUCAACUAAACCUGAAUUCUUGCAACCAGAGAGUACAGCUGUGAACGUUAUGGCAUCUGGUAGGAUGCCUGCUCCAAGCAUCUCGUCAAAGAGCGAGACCACCUCUUUACCAAGGCCAUAGAUUGCAAACCCC